AACGAACGCUGGCGGCAGGCUUAACACAUGCAAGUCGAACGAGAUCUUCGGAUCUAGUGGCAGACGGGUGAGGAACACGUGGGAACAUCCCUUUCAGUUCGGAAUAACGUUGGGAAACUAACGCUAAUACCGAUACGUCCUUCGGGAGAAAGAUUUAUCGCUGAAAGAUUGGCCCGCGGCUGAUUAGCUAGUUGGUGAGGUAAGUGCUCACCAAGGCUACGAUCAGUAGCUGAUCUGAGAGGAUGAUCAGCCACAUUGGGACUGAGACACGGCCCAAACUCCUACGGGAGGCAGCAGUGGGGAAUAUUGGACAAUGGGCGCAAGCCUGAUCCAGCCAUGCCGCGUGAGUGAUGACGGCCUUCGGGUUGUAAAGCUCUUUUGUCCGGGAAGAUAAUGACUGUACCGGAAGAAUAAGCCCCGGCAAACUUCGUGCCAGCAGCCGCCGUAA
rnacentral:rRNA from 1 species